AUUGAACGCUGGCGGCAUGCCUUACACAUGCAAGUCGAACGGUAACAGGUCUUCGGAUGCUGACGAGUGGCGAACGGGUGAGUAAUACAUCGGAACGUGCCCGAUCGUGGGGGAUAACGAAGCGAAAGCUUUGCUAAUACCGCAUAGGAUCUACGGAUGAAAGCAGGGGACCGCAAGGCCUUGCGCGAACGGAGCGGCCGAUGGCAGAUUAGGUAGUUGGUGGGAUAAAAGCUUACCAAGCCGACGAUCUGUAGCUGGUCUGAGAGGACGACCAGCCACACUGGGACUGAGACACGGCCCAGACUCGUACGGGAGGCAGCAGUGGGGAAUUUUGGACAAUGGGCGCAAGCCUGAUCCAGCCAUGCCGCGUGCAGGAUGAAGGCCUUCGGGUUGUAAACUGCUUUUGUACGGAACGAAAAGACUCUGGUUAAUACCUGGGGUCCAUGACGGUACCGUAAGAAUAAGCACCGGCUAACUACGUGCCAGCAGCCGCGGUAACAC
rnacentral:rRNA from 1 species